GACGAACGCUGGCGGCGUGCCUAAUACAUGCAAGUCGAGCGAUGCGCCGGAUGGGUGAGUCACGCGUGGGUAACCUUCCCUUACGUCUGGGAUACCCUUUGGCAACAGCUGUUAAUACCGGAUACUAAAGGAUGGACCUGCGAUGCAUUAGCUAGUUGGUAAGGUAACGGCUUACCAAGGCGAUGAUGCAUAGCCGAGUUGAGAGACUGAUCGGCCACAUUGGGACUGAGACACGGCCCAAACUCCUACGGGAGGCAGCAGUAGGGAAUCUUCCACAAUGGACGAAAGUCUGAUGGAGCAACGCCGCGUGAGUGAAGAAGGUUUUCGGAUCGUAAAGCUCUGUUGUUGGUGAAGCGGUAAUCAACCAGAAAGUCACGGCUAACUACGUGCCAGCCGCCGCGGUAAUUC
rnacentral:rRNA from 1 species